AGGGGGAGCACUGGAUCUUGGGCUGUGUCCCCCAGCGCCCUGGGCUCCAGGGCCUGCACUGCUGGAAUCAUGCUCUGGCGCCACACAGCCCCCU
rnacentral:pre_miRNA from 1 species